rnacentral:rRNA from 1 species
UACGGAGGGUGCAAGCGUUAUCCGGAUUCACUGGGUUUAAAGGGUGCGUAGGCGGGUAGGUAAGUCAGCGGUGAAAUCCCCGAGCUUAACUUGGGAACUGCCGUUGAUACUAUUUAUCUUGAAUGUUGUGGAGGUUAGCGGAAUAUGUCAUGUAGCGGUGAAAUGCUUAGAUAUGACAUAGAACACUCAUUGCGAAGGCAGCUCACUACGGGAUGAUUGACACUGAGGCACGAAAGCGUGGGGAUCAAACAGG